ACGCACGCUGGCGGCGUGCUUAACACAUACAAGUCGAACGGAAAGGCCCUGCUUUUGUGGGGUGCUCGAGUGGCGAACGGGUGAGUAACACGUGAGUAACCUGCCCUUGACUUUGGGAUAACUUCAGGAAACUGGGGCUAAUACCGGAUAGGAGCUCCUGCUGCAUGGUGGGGGUUGGAAAGUUUCGGCGGUUGGGGAUGGACUCGCGGCUUAUCAGCUUGUUGGUGGGGUAGUGGCUUACCAAGGCUUUGACGGGUAGCCGGCCUGAGAGGGUGACCGGCCACAUUGGGACUGAGAUACGGCCCAGACUCCUACGGGAGGCAGCAGUGGGGAAUAUUGCACAAUGGGCGGAAGCCUGAUGCAGCAACGCCGCGUGCGGGAUGACGGCCUUCGGGUUGUAAACCGCUUUCGCCUGUGACGAAGCGUGAGUGACGGUAAUGGGUAAAGAAGCACCGGCUAACUACGUG
rnacentral:rRNA from 1 species